CGGGGUUUGGUGUAAGGGUAGCAUCAGGGGCUGUAGACCCCUGGGUGGCGGUUCAAAUCCGCCAACUCCGACCA
rnacentral:tRNA from 2 species